CAGUCGCCACGGUAAUACAGAGGGUGCGAGCGUUAAUCGGAUUUACUGGGCGUAAAGCGUGCGUAGGCGGCUUUUUAAGUCGGAUGUGAAAUCCCUGAGCUUAACUUAGGAAUUGCAUUCGAUACUGGGAAGCUAGAGUAUGGGAGAGGAUGGUAGAAUUCCAGGUGUAGCGGUGAAAUGCGUAGAGAUCUGGAGGAAUACCGAUGGCGAAGGCAGCCAUCUGGCCUAAUACUGACGCUGAGGUACGAAAGCAUGGGGAGCAAACAGGAUUAGAUACCCCAGUAGUCCCUGUCUCUUAUAU
rnacentral:rRNA from 1 species